AAGAAAAAGUAAGUGGAUCUAACCCAUUGAAUCGUGACUAUAUCCACUAUUCUGAUAUUAAAAUUCGAUAGAGAUGAAAUUGGAACAGUCGAUUUCUUUUUAUUUCAUAUUUAUUUGGACUCCACAAGAAUCUGUCGAUAUUUCCGAUUCAAUCUUCUUGUUCCUAGGAAUAAAUUAAUAUUCUAUUCCUUUCUAGAUAAAGAGAAACAUUUAUUUCAAGUUACAACCUAAGAGCCUUUUUCAACAUCUUAUCUUUCUUUGAUUCCAGAACACAACAAGAUCCAUCUCUAUCUAUAUAUUCUAUCUAUUCUAUAAUAGAUAGAAACCUAAAUCAAAUCAUGUCUUCACAUAUCAAAUAUUUCCAUAUCGAUACAUAUGACACUUUUGUUCUGCCAAUGUGAUGGAGAGUGAGUGCGAAAAAGAAACUUUCAUUUUGAGUCUCCUAUUAUUUAAUUUAAUAUUAUUAAAUAUUGUAUUAGAUUGAAAAAUAGGAACUUCGAAUCUUUUUCUAUUUACUUUAUGUAUAUCAGAAAAAGAUUCGAAGUGGAUUUCUCGACCCGUGAAAUGAAAAACUAGCCUAUGGAGUUUUUUUGUUUUAUAUUCAUCUGAAGGAAAUAUGAGAAAGAAAACAAUAAAUAAAAGAAAUAAAAUGAAGGAAAUAUAUAUCAGACUAUAGUAAUUUAAUACACAUAGAAAUUAUAAAAAUACAUAAAAAUAUUGAUUUUUAUCAAUUUCACGAACAAGAUCCAAGAAUAAGAUUAGUUGAUGGAGGGGGAGAGGUAGAUCUGGAGAUCAACCAGUAGCGAGAGAAGGGAUCGCUUCUUCCUUGAAUUGAAGAGUUCAUUCAAAAAAUUCAUCUAUCUGAUUGAUGAGCCAUAAGACAAUUCAUGGUUCAGACGACUAGUAAAAAUAGAAAAGAAUAAACGAAUUGAGUUCAUGGAUUUACCUAAGUCAGGUUAUGGACCAAUACAAGACAAUAUUUUUUUAUAUUCGAAACCAAUUAAUUAUAAGGNNNNNNNNNNNNNNNNNNNNNNNNNNNNNNNNNNNNNNNNNNNNNNNNNNNNNNNNNNNNNNNNNNNNNNNNNNNNNNNNNNNNNNNNNNNNNNNNNNNNNNNNNNNNNNNNNNNNNNNNNNNNNNNNNNNNNNNNNNNNNNNNNNNNNNNNNNNNNNNNNNNNNNNNNNNNNNNNNNNNNNNNNNNNNNNNNNNNNNNNNNNNNNNNNNNNNNNNNNNNNNNNNNNNNNNNNNNNNNNNNNNNNNNNNNNNNNNNNNNNNNNNNNNNNNNNNNNNNNNNNNNNNNNNNNNNNNNNNNNNNNNNNNNNNNNNNNNNNNNNNNNNNNNNNNNNNNNNNNNNNNNNNNNNNNNNNNNNNNNNNNNNNNNNNNNNNNNNNNNNNNNNNNNNNNNNNNNNNNNNNNNNNNNNNNNNNNNNNNNNNNNNNNNNNNNNNNNNNNNNNNNNNNNNNNNNNNNNNNNNNNNNNNNNNNNNNNNNNNNNNNNNNNNNNNNNNNNNNNNNAUAGAUCUGCUUCUCUUUUUCUUCUGAGCCGAAUUCUCGUAAUUCUAAUGGAAUAGAACAAAUAUUAAUCCUUUCUCCGAAAGAAUCCAUCGAAAAGGGGAGGUAUUCCAAUGCAAUAAAGUACAGUGUCUAUUGUUCGUGAUAAAGGGGUAUUUCCAUGGGUUUCCCUUGGUAUCGUGUUCAUACUGUCGUAUUGAAUGAUCCCGGUCGCUUGCUUUCUGUUCAUAUAAUGCAUACGGCUCUGGUUGCUGGUUGGGCCGGUUCAAUGGCUCUAUAUGAAUUAGCCGUUUUUGAUCCCUCCGAUCCCGUUCUUGAUCCAAUGUGGAGACAAGGUAUGUUCGUUAUACCCUUCAUGACUCGUUUAGGAAUAACCAAUUCAUGGGGCGGUUGGAGUUUACAGGGGGACUAUAACACAUUCGGGUAUUUGGAGUUACGAAGGUGGUGGCCGAGCACAUAUUGUGUGUUUUCUGGCUUGUGCUUUCUUGGCAGCUAUUUGGCAUUGGUAUAUUGGGAUCUAGAAAUUUUUUGUGAUGAGCGCACAGGAAAACCUUCUUUGGAUUUGCCCAAGAUUUUGGAAUUCAUUUAUUUCUCUCAGGAGUGGCUUGCUUUGGCUUUGGCGCAUUUCAUGUAACAGGAUUGUAUGGUCCUGGAAUAUUGGGUGUCAGGACCUUAUGGACUAACUGGCAAGGUCCAACCUGUAAAUCCGGCGUGGGCGUGGAAGGUUUUGAUCCUUUGUUCCGGGAGGAAUAGCCUCUCAUCAUAUUGCAGCAGGGACAUUGGGCAUAUUAGCGGGCUUAUUCCAUCUUAGUGUCCGCCUGCCCCAACUGUUUAUACAAAGGAUUACGUAUGGGAAAUAUUGAAACCGUCCUUUCUAGUAGUAUAGCUGCUGUCUUUUUUGCAGCUUUUGUUGUUGCCGGAACUAUGUGGUAUGGUUCAGCAAUUACCCCCAUCGAAUUAUUUGGUCCUACUCGUUAUCAAUGGGAUCAAGGAUACUUCCAGCAAGAAAUAUAUCGAAGGGUUAGUGCUGGGUUAGCCGAAAAUGAAAGUUUAUCAGAAGCUUGGUCUAAAAUUCCUGAAAAAUUAGCUUUUUAUGAUUAUAUUGGCAAUAAUCCGGCAAAAGGAGGAUUAUUCAGAGCGGGUUCAAUGGACAACGGGGAUGGAAUAGCCGUUAGGUGGUUAGGGCACCCUAUCUGUAGAGAUAAAGACGGGCGUGAACUUUUGUACGUCGUAUGCCUACUUUUUUUGAAACAUUUCUGGUUGUUUUGGUAGACGGUGACGGAAUUGUUAGAGCGGAUGUCCUUUUAGAAGGGCAGAAUCAAAGUAUAGUGUCGAACAACUAGGUGUAACUGUUGAGUUCUAUGGCGGCGAACUCAAUGGAGUGAGUUAUAGUGAUCCUGCUACUGUGAAAAAAUAUGCUAGACGUGCUCAAUUGGGUGAAAUUUUUGAAUUAGAUCGUGCUACUUUGAAAUCCGAUGGUGUUUUUCGUAGCAGUCCGAGGGGUUGGUUUACUUUUGGGCAUGCUUCGUUUGCCUUGCUUUUCUUUUUCGGACACAUUUGGCAUGGUGCUAGAACCCUAUUCAGAGAUGUUUUUGCCGGUAUUGAUCCAGAUUUGGAUGCUCAAGUGGAAUUUGGAGCAUUCCAAAAACUUGGAGAUCCAACUACAAGAAGACAAGUAGUCUGAUGCAAGAUUGCUUUGUUAUUUUUCGCUUCUACUUCUAUUUGUGAUUUGCCAUAGGCUGCUGGAAAAAUCUUGAUUUAAAUCGCUGCCUUUUCUUUGAUUCUUGUCUUUCUUUAUUUUAUUCGGGAGAUGAUUCCAAAUAAACAGGUACGAAAGCUAUAAUUGUAAACCACGAUCAAUUUAUGGAAGCAUUGGUUUAUACAUUCCUCUUAGUAUCUACUCUAGGGAUAAAUUUUUUCGCUAUCUUUUUUCGAGAAUCGCCUAAAAUUCUAACUAAAAAAAUGAAAUGAUUUUUCAUUAUCUCAAUUGAAGUAAUGAGCCUCCCAAUAUUGGGAGGCUCAUUACUUCAAUUAGUCCCCGUGUUCCUCGAAUGGAUCUCUUAAUUGUUGAGAGGGUUGCCCAAAAGUAGUAUAUAAGGCGUACCCAGUAAAACUUACAAGUAAACCAGAUAUAGAGAUGGCGACUAAGGUUGCUGUUUCCAUUAUUAUAUAAUUUCAAGAUCACAAUGGGUCUAUGAUAAGAUUGUUUAUUUACAGCGGAAUGAUAUACAAAGUCAACAGAUCUCACUGAAUACAAAAUUAGAUUUAUGGCUACACAAACCGUUGAGGGUAGUUCUAGAUCUGGUCCAAGACGAACUGUUGUAGGGGAUUUUUUGAAACCAUUGAAUUCGGAAUAUGGUAAGGUAGCCCCUGGAUAGGGAACGACUCCUUUGAUGGGUGUCGCAAUGGCUUUAUUUGCGAUAUUCUUAUCUAUUAUUUUGGAGAUUUAUAAUUCUUCCGUUUUACUGGAUGGAAUUUCAAUGAAUUAGAUUCACAAGAAUCACGAAGCCUCGCUUUUCAAUACAAAAAGUGAAACUUUUAGUUCUCGGAUUUUUUUAGCCCCAUUCUAUUUCGGUAGUUCGACCGCGAAAUUUAUUUGUUUCUGUAUUUUCGGAAUAUGAGUGUGUGACUUGUUAUAAUUGAUCCUAUUGAUAGUACAGAAAAUAGGUCUGUCAUCUUGAUCGAGAUAGUUUUAUCCCGUCGGAUAGUCAUUCUAGUAUCUGGAGCACGGAAUAUAUGAAAGGAUCACAAAGUAUUUGAACUAUGAUUCAUACUUAAUAUUCAAACCUCACGGCCGGACUCAAAAAAAAAUUCAAAGAAAGAGUUAUAUUAUUUAUAAAUCGAAAGAUUUUUUAUUCUUUCAAAAUCUCAUUUAGUUUAUGCUUAUUUUGAUCAAAGGACAAACCUUUCUUUUCUUUGUAUUUUUUAUUAUAUCUAUUCUAUUGAUUGAAUAAGUGAUGAUCCAAUGGUUCUUACUCAAAGAAUCUUUGGACUUAGUUUGAAGGUUUUAUUGAAUCAUCGCGGUUCUGGUAUGAAUCUGAAGUUUCAAUUGAUUCAUAGGGUCUUAACAAGAGAAUUCCUAUCAAAAAGAAAGAAAACAAGAAUAAAGCCACAUUUCAUACAAAGUACAAAUCAAAGCAAAGAAAAAGAAAUAAGUAGGUAAAUAGAAGAUUCAAGAGGCCUGUAACGAUCAACAUAAAGACGACUGCGCCGACUUGAUUUUUUGGCAUUAUAAUUACAACUACAAAAAAGAGCUUUCGGAUUUUCACUCUUUUGUGUCUUCAGAUAAAAUUGAAUGAAAAGAUUAAGAAGUUUCAAACUUUCUAUUCCAUAUCCGUUUCAGCUAUUACUUGGGUGUUUUUGUUUGAGCUGUACGAGAUGAAAUUCUCAUAUACGGUUCUCGGGGGGGGUCCUCUUGGUUUACCUAUCUCAAUAAAGUCUAUGAUUGGUUCGAAGAGCGCCUCGAAAUUCAGGCGAUUGCAGAUGAUAUAACUAGUAAAUAUGUUCCUCCUCAUGUUAACAUAUUUUAUUGUCUAGGGGGAAUUACGCUUACUUGUUUUUUGGUACAAGUAGCUACAGGAUUUGCUAUGACUUUUUACUAUCGUCCAACCGUUACUGAGGCUUUUGCUUCUGUUCAAUACAUAAUGACUGAAGCUAACUUUGGUUGGUUAAUCCAAUCAGUUCAUCGAUGGUCGGCAAGUAUGAUGGUCUUAAUGAUGAUCCUGCACGUAUUUCGUGUCUAUCUCACUGGUGGUUUUAAAAAACCUCGCGAAUUAACUUGGGUUACAGGCGUGGUUCUGGCUGUGUUGACCGCAUCUUUUGGUGUAACAGGUUAUUCCUUACCUCAGGACCAAGUUGGUUAUUGGGCAGUCAAAAUCGUAACAGGCGUUCCGGACGCUAUUCCGGUAAUAGGAUCGCCUUUGGUAGAGUUAUUACGUGGAAGUGCUAGUGUGGGACAAUCCACUUUGACCCGUUUUUAUAGUUUACACACUUUUGUAUUACCCCUUCUUACUGCUGUAUUUAUGUUAAUGCAUUUCCUAAUGAUACGUAAGCAAGGCAUUUCUGGUCCUUUAUAGAGAAUAUAGACCAUAGCUAUAUUGUAACCAAUAAUUUAUCUUAUUACUUGGGGGAGGAACAAUAGUAUUUCAUUGCUACAAAUAUGGAUUAUUGAAAAAAAUAAGACAUGUAUUUGGAUAUUUCCUUUCAACUACAACAAUAUUCUAUUAUUUAUUUGAUAUGACAUGAAUAGUUGAAGGGAAUUCCCCGAAGAGAAAAUGGAUUAUGGGAGUGUGUGACUUGAACUAUUGAUUGGGCCGUGCAGAAAUAUGCCUUUAUCUGCUACAUUGGAAUUCACAACCAAAUGUGUCUUUGUUUCAACCACCGUGUAAGCCCCAUACAAAGGAUAGGCUGGUUCGCUUGAAGAGAAUCUUUUCUAUGAUCAGACCUGACGAUGUUGUGUAUAAAUAGGGCUCCGUAAGAUCCAGUAGAAUAAGUGAUUUGGCAUAAUCCAAAUUAGAUUUUAGUUUUUCUUUUUACUUUCUUAUCUUAAUAGUAUGAAAAUGCAUUCAUUUCUUUUGCAUCGACCCCAUUUAAUUAUACUAUCAGAGUGAAACAAGGGAUCUAAAGAAGAGCAAAGGCUAGACUAUAUUAGUAACAAGUAAAUCCUUUGUAUGUAAAAAAUCUCGAUAUAUUUUUGGGAUAAAGGUGAAUCGCAAGGCCUAAGAUGACCCAUAAAGCACUUAAUCACGAUCAACUUUGUACGCCUACUUGGGUAUUGAGCAUUUACCUGUAAAAAUGAAAUUCCUUGGAAUGUAUAAUUGUAACUCCGUAAAAUGGAAUCGGGUACCUUUUUUCUUACAUACGGAACCAUUCAUAUAUGUGGGGAUAACAUAUAGAUUUAUUUUAAACACAUAGAAUAUAGAUUUAUUUUAUAGGUAUCCGUUUGUAUCCAUUUGAUUCGAUUGACUUUUGCUUGAGCCGGAUGAUGAAAAAUUAUCAUGUCCGGUUCCUUUGGGGGAUGGAUCUAGAAAAAUUCACCUAUCCUAAUAACAAAAAAACCUGACUUGAACGAUCCUGUAUUAAGAGCUAAAUUAGCUAAAGGUAUGGGUCAUAAUUAUUAUGGGGAACCCGCAUGGCCCAAUGAUCUUUUAUAUAUUUUUCCAGUAGUAAUUCUCGGUACUAUUGCUUGUAAUGUGGGCUUAGCGGUUCUAGAACCUUCAAUGAUUGGUGAACCCGCGGAUCCAUUUGCAACUCCUUUGGAAAUAUUACCUGAAUGGUAUUUCUUUCCUGUAUUUCAAAUACUUCGUACAGUACCUAACAAGUUAUUGGGUGUUCUUUUAAUGGUUUCAGUACCCGCGAGAUUAUUAACAGUACCAUUUUUGGAAAAUGUUAAUAAAUUCCAAAAUCCAUUUCGUCGUCCAGUAGCGACAACCAUUUUUUUGAUUGGUACUGCAGUAGCCCUUUGGUUGGGUAUUGGAGCAACAUUACCGAUUGAUAAAUCCCUAACUUUAGGUCUUUUUUAAAUUGAAUCAAUUAAAAAAAAUAUCAUGAUGUGCGUAUCUAGGGAGUAGUCACUUCAAAGGAAAAGUGAAUUCUCCCUAGAUACAUUUAUUCAAUUCUGGUCCGAAUCUAUGGAUUGUGCUGAAGGUUCAAAAUCCAUUGGAUUCAAACUUUUGAUAAAUCAAUUUCGAAAUGCUUUUUCUACUUCUUUUCUAGAAUGCCCAGUAUUUGUUUUACAUCUUCUAUGCGAAAGUGUUCAAUUUUCAUAAGGUCUUCUCAACUGUUAUUCAAAAGGUCCAAUAAUGUAUGUAUAUUGGACUUUUUGAGACAAUUAUAGAUCCUGGGAGGCAAUUCUGAUUGGUCAAUAAAAAUCGAUUUCAAUGCUAUUUCUUUUUUCUUUUUUGUUAGUUUAACUAAUCUAUCAUGAAACGGAAAAAAAGGUAAAGUAACAUCGUGUUGAUUGUUUUCUAAAUGGAAGUUUUCUUCUUCCGCAUGUAGAAAAGGAAUAAAUAAAUCAAUCAAAUUGCGAGAGGCUUCAUGAAGUGCUUCUUUCGGAGUUAAACUUCCAUUUGUCCAUAUUUCUAGAAAAAGUAUCUCCUGUUUUUCAUUAUCAUUCCCAUAACAAUGAAUACUAUGAUUCGCAUUUCGAACAGGCAUGAAUACAGCAUCUAUAGGAUAACUUCCGCCGUGAAAGUUCUUUGGCGUUUUUAUACCGUAUCCUCUAUUUCUCUCGAUUUGUAAUCCAAUACACAAAUCAAUUGGUUCGGUUAGGCUGGCUACAUGCUGUGUAUUAUCAACGAUUUCCACAGAAGGUGGUAAGAUGAUGUCUUGAGCAGUUACAUAUCCGGGACCCUUGGCACAAAUAAAGGCGUUACGAGUUCCAUACAAAUUCCCUCUCAAUACAAUUUCUUUCAAAUUCAUUAAAAUUUCAUGGACUGAUUCUUGAAUACCUACUAUGGUAGAAUAUUCGUGGGGUAUUUUCUCAGAUUUUGCACGUGUAAUGCAUGUUCCUUCUAGUUCUCCAAGCAAAGCUCUUCGCAUCGCAAUGCCUAUUGUGUCGGCUUGGCCUUUCAUAAGUGGAGACAGAAUAAAGCGUCCAUAAUAAAAGGCGCUUACUAUAUGUUCUUGAUUCAACACACUUCCACUGUCGUGUCCGAGUCGAAGUAGAGACUUUUACUUUCUCUCGAACCAUAGUAAUAUUAUUUUAUUUGAUCAGAUCAUUGAAUCAUUUAUUUCUUGAAUCUAUCCAUUCUGGAUCCAAAAAUGACCCCUCCCACGAAUUUUUCAGAUUUUGAGACACAUUCAAUAAUAUAGAAGUAUAAGUUGCCAAAAUGAAAAUAAAAAAAAAUUAGAGGGGGGUCAGUCAAACUUCUGUAAUCUGUAAUGUAACUUGAAUGAAAUAAAUAGAAUUUGAAUGAUGAAUGAAAAGAAAAUAAUAAAAUCGAAAUCAUAAUAAAAAAAAUGAAAUUCUAAAUAAUUAAAUUAAAUUAUUAAUUUUUCUAUUUAACUUUAACUUAAAUUAAAUAAUAAUAACUUAAAUUAAAUAAUAAAAAAUUCUAAAUAGACUAAAUAUAAAUAAUAACUAAAUAAUAACUAAAUAGAAAUAAUAUAUAUAAUAAUAUUAUAAGAAUAAUAUAAUAAUAGAUAAUAAUAGAUAAUACAAUAAUAGAUAGAAUAAUAAAAUAAAUAAUAUAGAAAUAUAGAUUUAUAAAUCGAAAUAUAUUAAUAUAAAUAUAAUAAUAUAAAUAUUAUUAAUUACUUAAUAUUAAUAACAAAUAAUAUAAAUUAAUAUUAAUUGCUAAUAACUUGUAAUUUGAUUAUUUGAUAAGCAUUUGAAUUGUUAUAUAAUUUCGAUUGUUAAUUGGUUUAGUAGUGGAAUUUGAUAAAAUCGCCCUGAACUGAAGAAAGUAUCUAUCCUAGCUCUGACCAAAUAUUCUUUCGUAUCAAGAAUCAAGAACGAAAAUGCGGAUAUAGUCCAAUGGUAAAAUUUCUCUUUGCCAAAGAGAAGACGUGGGUUCGAUUCCCGCUAUCCGCCCAGAGCAAUGUAUUUAAGAUAAGAGGAUAAAAGAUUCGUUAUAGUUGACUGUAAAUAGUUGACUGGAAUUGGAAUAUAAUACACCCCCUAAAAGAAAAAAUGACUAGUUAAUAGGGUCAAGUCUAAUUUUUUUUGUCAAAAAAAUGUAAUGUUGCGGGAACGGGAUUUGAACCCAUGACCUCAAGGUUAUGAGCCUUGCGAGCUACCAAACUGCUUUAUCCCGUGAUGAAAAGAAACCAAACUAAUGGACAAACAAAGAUUGAAUGCGCCCCUCUUCCAUAUAUGUACAAAUAGAAUAGCCUAUUUAUACAGAAUGGUAAAGGGGCCCCUCUAUGAUCAUCGAUCAUAGAAAUAAAUAGAAAAGGGAAGGGAUAUUUUAAUCCUUACCAACUUGAUCUUGUUGCCCCCGGCAACAAACAUGCAUGAACCAUUUCACGAAGUAUGUGUCCGAAUAGUCGAAAGUCUCGAUAGUUAGCUCUCGGUCUUCCGGUCGAAAAGCAACGUCGAUGAAGACGUGUGGGUGCGCUAUUUCGUGGUGAGGAUUGUAACUUUCCAUGAAUUUUCCAUUUCUCACUCAACGACGGAACUUUGCUUAUUUCUUUUUUUGAGGAUCGACGAAUCAAAUGAUAUUUUUGUUCCAAUUUUUGCCUCUUCUUCUCCCUAUGAAUCAAACUUUUCUUUGCCAUAAUGGUUCAGUUCCUAUUAUUAUCAAUGAUACAAGUCGGAUCCUAGAUGUAGAAAUAGAAGGGGGCAUACCCCCCUACUCCAUCGAAAGAGAUGAUAUUAUCACAGAUACAGCGCAUAACAUAAGGAAUUAACCAAAUUUGCCCGAUGUAGAGGCAAUCAAGAAAGCCGCAUAAGUAAAUAUAUAACCUACAGAAAAGUGGGCUAAUCCAACCAAUCUUGCCUGCACAAUAGAAAGAGCCACUGGUUUAUCUCUCCAUCGAAUCAAAUUAGCUAAAGGUGUGCGUUCAUGAGCCCAUGCUAAAGUUUCAAUCAAUUCUUGCCAAUAUCCACGCCAAGAAAUUAAGAACAUAAAUCCGGUAGCCCAAACAAGAUGUCCAAAUAAGAACAUCCACGCCCAGACUGAUAAACUAUUCAUACCAAAUGGGUUAUACCCAUUGAUGUAUUUUAAAAAUUUUAUCUGUCGGGACUGACGGGGCACGAACCCGCAGCUUCCGCCUUGACAGGACGGUGCUCUGACCAAUUGAACUACAAUCCCAGGGAAAUAAAGAAAAGCGUACAACAUAGAUAGUCUUACGAUUUCAUUCAAGCCAUUCUCUAUUUAGAUUUUAGAUUCGAAGCCGGGUUGUAACAAACAAAGGCGCGAGUGAUAUAUUGAUAUCCAUACGGGUAUGCACUUUGAGUGAGAGCGACGAGGAUUCCUAGUUACUAGGAAUCCUUUCGUUAUUGCCAAAUAAAUCGAUCAAUAAUCAAUUUGAAAACAAAAAAGAGUCUUCUUUUUUGUUUACUUUACUCCUUUUCUUUUCAUUAAACUUUCUAUUUAAUGAUCCUGAUAUGAAUCUAGAGCAUUAUCAAGGUCAUAAUUUAUGGGAACAACUAAAUAAAUAGAACAAAAUAAAAAACAAAUAGCGGUAGGGAUGGAUAUAUCACAAAAUUGGACUUUUUUUAUUCUUCCCUAAUUUUUUUGUUUGGAUUUUCGGGAAAACAAAAUACAAAAAAAUGGGCAUUUUAGGUUAUGGCGGAUCAGCGAAUUAUUGGGCCGAGCUGGAUUUGAACCAGCGUAGACAUAUUGCCAACGAAUUUACAGUCCGUCCCCAUUAACCGCUCGGGCAUCGACCCAGGAAGAAUCAAUUCUAGGUUUAUUGAUAAUCCAUGAUCAACUUCCUUUCGUAGUACCCUACCCCCAGGGGAAGUCGAAUCCCCGCUGCCUCCUUGAAAGAGAGGUGUCCUGAACCGCUAGACGAUGGGGGCAUACUUGCCUGACCGCGACCAUACUAUGCUCAUAGUAUGAACAGUUUUUUGAAAUUGUCAAUAUAAUGGAAUGACUAGAGCCGAAAGCUUUUUCCAUCUUUUAUGAUUUUCCAUAUUUUAUUCACGAUUUAUACUCAGUAAAUCAUUCAUUUUAAUCGCCACUCUAUUCGAUAUAGAAAUAAAUUAGAUAAAUUCAAUCUAUUAUAUAAAUAUUUAUUAGAAAUAAAUAGAUAUUAUAAAAAGAAACUAGAUUAAUAAUACAAAGUAUAAGAUCAGUGAUUGGUUUAACAUAAACAUAAAAAAGGGAGUUAACCUUCAUUUUUUCCACUUUCAUUCAUUGAUUCACUCAUUAUUACGACGAGACAGGCAUGUUUCUAUCUCACACUAAGCCGGUAAAUUAACAAAAAGUAAAUCGGGAAUUUUUGGAAGAGGCAGCAAGAAGUUAUCAAAAAUUAUGUGUGUGUUUUUUUUCUAAAAAUUGGGUUCGGUGGACAAAGCAAAUCCCUUCAUCACAUGUUUCGAUAAACUAGAUUGGAUCUAUGUCGAAUUUCUAAGGUACAUGUAUUAAUCAAAUAAAUGAAUUUCGUUCUGUUCUGAUAAGCCAAUUAUGAUUGGCCUUGAAACAGUUUAUUGCAUUGAUACAAACCCAAUAUCAAUAAAACCAUUUUACCCUCUACAUGUUAAGUAAAUUAGAAUUCUCAUUCCUAAGAGCUACUAGCCACUAUGAGUCUACUGCAUAUACUUAUAUAUAUAAAUAGAUCUUAUCCGUCUACUGAUUCAUUCAGUAAUUGAGUCGAACUGCCCUUUUAACUCAGUGGUAGAGUAAUGCCAUGGUAAGGCGUAAGUCAUCAGUUCAAAUCCGAUAAGGGGCUUUUGACUUUUUUUUCAUAAAACUCCUAUAAAAUGGUAGUAUUCAUAUUGAAACAUAAGGAUGUUGUUUUUAUUGGUAAUAAAAACCCAACUGUAUAUGUAUAAUAAUUGAGUUAGAAAUUGUAUAAUUUAACUCUAAUAAGUUAUUAUUCUAAUGAGUUAGAGUAGAGGAAUUCUAAAAGAAAGUUGAAAUUAUAAUGAAUAAUGAUAAGCCGUCUCUUGAAGCGACAAAUAUAUAUUUUGUUUUGAUUUUGAAUUAGAUUAUUCCAAUCAAAUCCAUUGUAAAGAAUUGUAAAGAUUAGAAAUCAACAAAAGAAAAAGUAAGUGGAUCUAACCCAUUGAAUCGUGACUAUAUCCACUAUUCUGAUAUUAAAAUUCGAUAGAGAUGAAAUUGGAACAGUCGAUUUCUUUUUAUUUCAUAUUUAUUUGGACUCCACAAGAAUCUGUCGAUAUUUCUGAUUCAAUCUUCUUGUUCCUAGGAAUAAAUUAAUAUUCUAUUCCUUUCUAGAUAAAGAGAAACAUUUAUUUCAAGUUACAACCUAAGAGCCUUUUUCAACAUCUUAUCUUUCUUUGAUUCCAGAACACAACAAGAUCCAUCUCUAUCUAUAUAUUCUAUCUAUUCUAUAAUAGAUAGAAACCUAAAUCAAAUCAUGUCUUCACAUAUCAAAUAUUUCCAUAUCGAUACAUAUGACACUUUUGUUCUGCCAAUGUGAUGGAGAGUGAGUGCGAAAAAGAAACUUUCAUUUUGAGUCUCCUAUUAUUUAAUUUAAUAUUAUUAAAUAUUGUAUUAGAUUGAAAAAUAGGAACUUCGAAUCUUUUUCUAUUUACUUUAUGUAUAUCAGAAAAAGAUUCGAAGUGGAUUUCUCGACCCGUGAAAUGAAAAACUAGCCUAUGGAGUUUUUUUGUUUUAUAUUCAUCUGAAGGAAAUAUGAGAAAGAAAACAAUAAAUAAAAGAAAUAAAAUGAAGGAAAUAUAUAUCAGACUAUAGUAAUUUAAUACACAUAGAAAUUAUAAAAAUACAUAAAAAUAUUGAUUUUUAUCAAUUUCACGAACAAGAUCCAAGAAUAAGAUUAGUUGAUGGAGGGGGAGAG
rnacentral:lncRNA from 1 species